UGUCUGGUGGGUAGUUUGACUGGGGCGGUCUCCUCCUAAAGAGUAACGGAGGAGCACGAAGGUUGGCUAAUCCUGGUCGGACAUCAGGAGGUUAGUGCAAUGGCAUAAGCCAGCUUGACUGCGAGCGUGACGGCGCGAGCAGGUGCGAAAGCAGGUCAUAGUGAUCCGGUGGUUCUGAAUGGAAGGGCCAUCGCUCAACGGAUAAAAGGUACUCCGGGGAUAACAGGCUGAUACCGCCCAAGAGUUCAUAUCGACGGCGGUGUUUGGCACCUCGAUGUCGGCUCAUCACAUCCUGGGGCUGAAGUAGGUCCCAAGGGUAUGGCUGUUCGCCAUUUAAAGUGGUACGCGAGCUGGGUUUAGAACGUCGUGAGACAGUUCGGUCCCUAUCUGCCGUGGGCGCUGGAGAACUGAGGGGGGCUGCUCCUAGUACGAGAGGACCGGAGUGGACGCAUCACUGGUGUUCGGGUUGUCAUGCCAAUGGCACUGCCCGGUAGCUAAAUGCGGAAGAGAUAAGUGCUGAAAGCAUCUAAGCACGAAACUUGCCCCGAGAUGAGUUCUCCCUGACCCUUUAAGGGUCCUGAAGGAACGUUGAAGACGACGACGUUGAUAGGCCGGGUGUGUAAGCGCAGCGAUGCGUUGAGCUAACCGGUACUAAUGAACCGUGAGGCUUAACCUU
rnacentral:rRNA from 1 species